UGUGGCGUCACUAAGAGCCCAAUGGAGUUGCACUUCAGGCUUUCACUCAGCAAAACACCCGCUGGGUAUUUAAGAGGCCACAACAACACCGAACGUCACAAUCUAACAAGCACGUCGAAAGAUCAUGGAAGUGAUGAAGAGUCUGUUCGUAGCUGUGUGUGUUUUCCUCUUCGCGGUACAAUGUCAAGGGCAAUUGUCAUAUUCAUAUCGUCCUAUGGGACGCGAUGAGAUAGCAGACGACUCGGAGUCCCUAGCAGCACCAUACAGAGUAAUCUUACACAACAGGAGAUUUAUGAAAGUACCACGCAACCGUAACAUUCGACCUGCAUACAACAGCAUGAUUGGAAAAGACUCUUUGGAAUAUGACACGACAUCCCGUGCUUUUUCGAAAGAACACGAAGCAAAGUGAACGUUAAUGAACCAAUCCCAAUUAGAGGAAGGGCUUUCAAACACACAGAUCAUGAGAACUUUGUUUUUUUUUCUUUUGGUUCUUGAGUAUCAUUGUUAAUUUGAUACAAAGGAAAACACAUUAAGCAGGGUCUUUCGUUUUUUUGUGGAAUUACUCUAGAAUGAAGAGUGGUUCCGAGAUGUUUUUUCGACUCGAAAGAAAAAAAAGGUCAAUGGUACAAAAUGUAUUCAUAUGUACGACAAAUGGGAUCUAUUAAAGAGAAAGUUGGCUAAAAUGCUUUACUACCCGGUGAA